UACGUAGGGGGCAAGCGUUAUCCGGAUUUACUGGGCGUAAAGGGUGCGUAGGCGGUCUUACAAGUCAGGAGUGAAAGGCUACGGCUCAACCGUAGUAAGCUCUUGAAACUGUUAGACUUGAGUGCAGGAGAGGAGAGUGGAAUUCCUAGUGUAGCGGUGAAAUGCGUAGAUAUUAGGAGGAACACCAGUUGCGAAGGCGGCUCUCUGGACUGUAACUGACGCUGAGGCACGAAAGCGUGGGGAGCAAACAG
rnacentral:rRNA from 1 species